rnacentral:rRNA from 14 species
UCACAGACCACAUAUCGUCAAAAGACAAGUUCGUUCGUGGGUUUUAUAACAGUUGGUCCGGUAAAGGCUUACCAAGUCAAGGAUCUUUAGUCGGUCUGAGAGGAUGAUCGGCCACAUUGGGACUGAAAGACGGCCCAAACUCCAAUUGGAGGCAGCAGUGGAGAAUAUGGGACAAUGC